CCUGGCUCAGGAUGAACGCUAGCGACAGGCCUAACACAUGCAAGUCGAGGGGCAGCACAAGGAGCAAUCUGAGGUGGCGACCGGCGCACGGGUGAGUAACACGUAUGCAACCUGCCUGUAAGCGGGGAAUAACCCGUUGAAAGACGGACUAAUACCGCAUAAUACUAAAUUACUGCAUGGUAAUUUAUUUAAACAUUUAUGGCUUACAGAUGGGCAUGCGCAUGAUUAGCUAGUUGGAGAGGUAACGGCUCCCCAAGGCAACGAUCAUUAGGGGUUCUGAGAGGAAGGUCCCCCACACUGGUACUGAGACACGGACCAGACUCCUACGGGAGGCAGCAGUGAGGAAUAUUGGUCAAUGGACGAGAGUCUGAACCAGCCAAGUCGCGUGCAGGAAGAAUUGUCCUAUGGAUUGUAAACUGCUUUUGCAGGGGAAUAAAGUGCAUCACGUGUGAUGUUUUGUAUGUACUCUGCGAAUAAGGAUCGGCUAACUCCGUGCCAGCCGCCGC
rnacentral:rRNA from 1 species